GUAGGUGGCAAGCGUUGUCCGGAAUUAUUGGGCGUAAAGCGCGCGCAGGCGGUUCUUUAAGUCUGAUGUGAAAGCCCACGGCUCAACCGUGGAGGGUCAUUGGAAACUGGAGAACUUGAGUACAGAAGAGGAAAGCGGAAUUCCACGUGUAGCGGUGAAAUGCGUAGAGAUGUGGAGGAACACCAGUGGCGAAGGCGGCUUUCUGGUCUGUAACUGACGCUGAUGCGCGAAAGCGUGGGGGGAGCAAACAGGAUUAGAUACCCUGGUAGUCCACGCCGUAAACGAUGAGUGCUAAGUGUUAGGGGGUUUCCGCCCCCCCCUUAGUGCUGCAGCUAACGCAUUAAGCACUCCGCCUGGGAGUACGGCCGCAAGGCUG
rnacentral:rRNA from 1 species